rnacentral:rRNA from 1 species
GAUGAACGCUAGCGGGAGGCCUAACACAUGCAAGCCGAGCGGUAUUGUUUCUUCGGAAAUGAGAGAGCGGCGUACGGGUGCGGAACACGUGUGCAACCUGCCUUUAUCUGGGGGAUAGCCUUUCGAAAGGAAGAUUAAUACUCCAUAACAUAUUGAACGGCAUCGUUUGAUAUUGAAAGCUCCGGCGGAUAGAGAUGGGCACGCGUAAGAUUAGCUAGUUGGUGAGGUAACGGCUCACCAAGGCGAUGAUCUUUAGGGGGCCUGAGAGGGUGAUCCCCCACACUGGUACUGAGACACGGACCAGACUCCUACGGGAGGCAGCAGUGAGGAAUAUUGGUCAAUGGGUGCAAGCCUGAACCAGCCAUCCCGCGUGAAGGACGACUGCCCUAUGGGUUGUAAACUUCUUUUGUAUAGGGAUAAACCUACCCUCGUGAGGGUAGCUGAAGGUACUAUACGAAUAAGCACCGGCUAACUCCGUGCCAGCAGCCGCGGUAAAACGUG